GGCUCCACCCCAAGGGCACACGAUCAGUAGCUGUUCUGAGGAGGACGACAGCACUGGACUGAGACACGUCAGACUCCUACGGGAGCAGCAGUGGGGAAUUUGACAAUGGCGAAGCUGAUCCAGCAUGCCGCGUGAGUGAAGAAGCCUUCGGGUGUAAAGCUCUUUUGUCAGGGAAGAAACGGUGGGGGCUAAUAUCCUUCGCUAAUGACGGUACCUGAAGAAUAAGCACCGGCUAACUACGUGCCAGCAGCCGCGGUAAUACGUAGGGUGCAAGCGUUAAUCGGAAUUACUGGGCGUAAAGCGUGCGCAGGCGGUUUUGUAAGUCUGACGUGAAAUCCCCGGGCUCAACCUGGGAAUUGCGUUGGAGACUGCAAGGCUAGAAUCUGGCAGAGGGGGGUAGAAUUCCACGUGUAGCAGUGAAAUGCGUAGAGAUGUGGAGGAACACCGAUGGCGAAGGCAGCCCCCUGGGUCAAGAUUGACGCUCAUGCACGAAAGCGUGGGGAGCAAACAGGAUUAGAUACCCUGGUAGUCCACGCCCUAAACGAUGUCUACUAGUUGUCGGGUUUUAAUUAACUUGGUAACGCAGCUAACGCGUGAAGUAGACCGCCUGGGGAGUACGGUCGCAAGAUUAAAACUCAAAGGAAUUGACGGGGACCCGCACAAGCGGUGGAUGAUGUGGAUUAAUUCGAUGCAACGCGAAAAACCUUACCUACCCUUGACAUGUACGGAAGACCGAAGAGAUUUGGUUGUGCUCGAAAGAGAACCGUAACACAGGUGCUGCAUGGCUGUCGUCAGCUCGUGUCGUGAGAUGUUGGGUUAAGUCCCGCAACGAGCGCAACCCUUGUCAUUAGUUGCUACAUUCAGUUGAGCACUCUAAUGAGACUGCCGGUGACAAACCGGAGGAAGGUGGGGAUGACGUCAAGUCCUCAUGGCCCUUAUGGGUAGGGCUUCACACGUCAUACAAUGGUACAUACAGAGGGCCGCCAACCCGCGAGGGGGAGCUAAUCCCAGAAAGUGUAUCGUAGUCCGGAUCGCAGUCUGCAACUCGACUGCGUGAAGUUGGAAUCGCUAGUAAUCGCGGAUCAGCAUGUCGCGGUGAAUACGUUCCCGGGUCUUGUACACACCGCCCGUCACACCAUGGGAGCGGGUUUUACCAGAAGUAGGUAGCUUAACCGC
rnacentral:rRNA from 1 species